CGAAACUCAAAGGAAUUGACGGGGCCCGCACAAGCGGUGGAGCAUGUGGUUUAAUUCGACGCAACGCGAAGAACCUUACCAGGGCUUGACAUCCCCUGACCGCGUAUGAAGUACGUUUUCACCCUCGGGUGACAGGGAGACAGGUGGUGCAUGGUUGUCGUCAGCUCGUGUCGUGAGAUGUUGGGUUAAGUCCCGCAACGAGCGCAACCCCUACGUUUAGUUGCUAACGCGUGAAGGCGAGCACUCUAGACGAACUGCCGUUGACAAAACGGAGGAAGGUGGGGAUGACGUCAAAUCAUCAUGCCCCUUAUGUUCUGGGCUACACACGUGCUACAAUGGCCGGUACAGACGGACGCAAAGCCGCGAGGUGGAGCAAAUCCUAAAAAGCCGGUCUCAGUUCGGAUUGCAGGCUGCAAUUCGCCUGCAUGAAGUCGGAAUCGCUAGUAAUCCGCAGGUCAGCAUACUGCGGUGAAUACGUUCCCGGGCCUU
rnacentral:rRNA from 1 species